UACGUAGGCAGCAAGCGUUGUUCGGAGUUACUGGGCGUAAAGGGUGCGUAGGUGGCUCUAUAAGUAUGGUGUGAAAUCUCCCGGCUUAACUGGGAGGGUGCGCCGUAGACUGCGGGGCUAGAGUGUGGGAGAGGAAAGUGGAAUUCCUGGUGUAGCGGUGAAAUGCGUAGAUAUCAGGAGGAACACCGGUGGUGUAAACGGCUUUCUGGAC
rnacentral:rRNA from 1 species